GGGCCCGCACAAGCGGUGGAGCAUGUGGUUUAAUUCGAUGAUACGCGAGGAACCUUACCAGGGCUUAAAUGUAGUGGGACAGGUCUAGAGAUAGACCCUUCUUCGGACUCAUUACAAGGUGCUGCAUGGUUGUCGUCAGCUCGUGCCGUGAGGUGUCAGGUUAAGUCCUAUAACGAGCGCAACCCCUAUCGUUUAGUUGCCAGCGAGUAAUGUCGGGAACUCUAACGAAACUGCCAGUGCAAACUGUGAGGAAGGGUGGGAUGAACGUCAAUCAUCACCGGCCCUUACGUCCUGGCUACACACGUGCUACAAUGGCCGGUACAGAGAGCAGCCACUUCGCAAGAAGGAGCGAA
rnacentral:rRNA from 1 species